AUUGAACGCUAGCGGGAUGCCUUACAUACGCAAGUCGAACGGAGUGGCGAACGGGUGAGUAAUGUAUCGGAACGUGCCCAGUAGCGGGGGAUAACUACGCGAAAGCGUAGCUAAUACCGCAUACUAUUGGCGCGGCCGAUAUCGGCUUAGCAAGUUGGUGGGGUAACGGCUCACCAAGGCGACGGGCCGUAGCUGGUUUGAGAGGACGACCAGCCACACUGGGACUGAGCGACGGCCCAGACUCCUACGGGAGGUAGCAGUGGGGGAUUUUGGACAAUGGGGUAAACCCUGAUCCAGCCGUCCCGCGUGUGCGUUGAAGGCCUUCGGGUUGUAAAGCACUUUUGGCAGGAAAGCGGUACCUGCAGAAUAAGCACCGGCUAACUACGUGCCAGCAGCCGCGGUAAUUC
rnacentral:rRNA from 1 species